CAGCCUCUUGGGAUGGGCACAUCAUCUCCUACCAUGAUAGAUUGAUUUUACGUAUUAUUAUUUUAUGUAUUUAAUUUGCUUUAACUUUUUAUCAUAUGUAAAUAACCAGUUUUAAGCUUUUGUUUUGUGUAGCUGACACUAUGCUUAGGUGGGCUCAUGGAGCUACCAGAAAUGAAAAAUUAGAGUGGAAGAGGGUGCAUCC
rnacentral:lncRNA from 1 species